UAAGACGAGCUGGAAACUCCUUUUAUUUUCUUCUGCCUCUCUAGAACUCCAGAAAUGUUGGUUCUCUCGGCGUUUUUUCACUUGUUGGUGCAGCGUUAUUGAGUUUUUAGCAAAUCCAGCAGACCAGUAGUGCUUGUGUGACUUUAUUAGCCUUCCAGCUAAUGUGUAACAUCCCCAAAAACAUAUCAGUGUUAUUGCCUCCAUGGUCAGCAGUCAGGAAUCUCCAAAGGUAAAAACAUCCUGUGUUGUAUCUGUUCCCUUUCCAUUAGUCUCUGGCUCAGUGAAUUCCACAGUGGGAGUUAAACCCGAUGGUGCUGAUGCUUCUGGAUAAAGGGGUUUUGUGAAAGUACCUAAAUCUCCCCAGCCCUCAGGAGAGCUGUUCUUAGGGAUACCCACAAGUGAUUACACUCAGCUAAAAUGGUGAUUCCUGAGGGUUUUUCCCUAGGUUUGUACAGUUAUAUUGGGGGUUUCAAAGGUUGAUGCUUCUGGGUGCCUCCAAUAGAGCUGGUUUCGUUCUCCCUCCCAGAAGGUCGGGUUCAGGAGCUGUGGGACAAAAGACCCCCCUGUCUAAAAUGCAGGGAAUAUACCAGCUGUGCCUAAAUGCUGUUGAAAUCUAUGUGUUUAUUUGCCUUAAUAUUUGUGACCUAAAAAACCCUCCAGAACUCUGGGGUUUUAUCUCAUGAAGUUGGAACACAAAAGUGAACAUCUUAAUGUUGGGAGUGUUCCGGGUUCAGGUCCCUUGGCAGCCUGAAAGUGGUGACCAGAAGACCUGAUCAGGGUCCAGAACCUGAACCUUAGAUCUUUUGACUCUGUAUAUGACUAAUUCUGGCAAGAGUUUUCGAGUUCCCAGAAAUAAGAGGCACUGUCUGCCUGUGGGUAAACUUUCUAAGCUAGUGAAUAAAAGUAAAGAGUUGUCACUGGCUUAAUUUCAUUAGGCUAACCUAAAAGUGUGAACAUGAUAAUGAUAUUUCAAGGUAUCUAAGUAACCCAGAAAAACCUUGUGGGUUUUUUUUUUUCCUGGUAAAAUGGCACUUAAAAACUUGAAUAUCUGCAGAUCCUUGGUUACUGAAUGCAAAGAGAAGCUGGAGGGUUCUCGAGCAUUACACAGGGCUCACUUCUUAUCCAAAAAGUGGAUUACUGGGGUUUUAUUUCGUCUUGUUUUCAAAGAGGUUAUAGAUGUCACUGCCAUGGUUUAUAACUCUGCAGUUCCUUAGGACAAGGAAAGUUUCUGGGCUAACACAACCCUGCUUCUGUGUUUCAUGCAUUAAGGACAGGCAGGUAGUUAAAAACAAGGAAUCUUUUUGGCAUGUUUUAGGCAGUACCUUAUUUCCUCCCCCCCCAUAAAUCUUUUUGCAGAUGGAAGUGUGCAAAUUUUCAGCUGUAAAUCCACGAGCUGCAUUGACUCCCAUCCAGAGCAGAGCUGUUCCAUAAGGGUUGGUUUUGUUACCCUGUUUGGUGCUUCUCUGGGAGCACCUUUACGAAGGACUGGUAAUAAUCCCAAAUAAGAACAGUCUCUUCUUGUUUUGGUGGGAGCAUUUUAGAUUUGCUUUGCACAACUAUAAGCUUCAAAAAUAGUGCUGGUUUGUCCUAAUGCAGUUUGUGGCCAUUAAACAUAACUUCAUGCUAAGUAUGUAGAUGGUAUGAUAUGUAAAUUAAAUGAUCUAUCUUGCCCCAAAGAACAAUAAUUAAAGAGGAGAAUGGUCAGUGGGAAACAUAAUUCAAUGUGCAUAUUUUUCUUCUGAACAAAAUAGCAUUCCAGCUCUCCCCCUGAUGAGAGGAAUGUAUUGUCAAUUAAUUAGACUCCCAUCAUAUGUCCUCGGAUGCCCUUCUAUCAUAUGCCUUCCAUAUGUCCUUAUGUCAUAUGCCUUCCAUAUGCCCUCUGUGUAAUUAAGCUCCUAUCAUAUGGCUUCUAUCAUAUGCCAUUUAAGUGGAUUUCCAGGAGAAUGUGGCAGUGUUACAGUUAUGGACCUUUUGCAACGAGGAAAGGAACAACUCAUGAGCUGUAAAUUGGAAGAGGAGGAAGCAAAAGGAAGGUGGCUCGCCCUGAACAGUGUCUUUAAUUGCCAGUUUUGUUUCUCUCAGCUCGAGCGGUGAAUGGGAAAAAGUGUCCUGUUUUCCUCCUUUUCCAUUUCUGUGCCAUGCCCAGCUUUUAUCCAGUUGAGCCUGUGAAUAGCCAGAGAGAUAGCGACUGUUUUUCAGGGAACAUUUCCACUGGAACGUGAAAUGCAAAAGAAACAAUCCCCCUCCCAGAAAAGUGUUUGUCCUGCGAUAGCAAAAUGUGUAAACUUGGGUCUUGUUUCUGUCCCUUCACAUGAAGUGGAGUUUAAGAGCAGCGUGGAGAGGGAAUUAAUGAGAAGGGGAUGGUACAAUUCCCUUCAGCACACAUCCCUGUUCUCCCUCAUGGACCAGGGGUGUGGAGAGCACUGUGCUUUUCUUGGCAUAGGAAUUGCUUGGGAGAUGGGGUUCUGAUGUACAGGCAGAGGCAGUGAGAUGGAGUCCAAAUUUACUGUGACUUAUUAAGGAUAAAGACAAAAACCAGGCACUGAUGUUUAUAUACAUAAUGAAGAAAACUGGAGACAUCCAAGGAAUGAUGAGAUCUUGGAGUGGUUUCCAAGGCAAGGGCAGAUAAUGUGCUCGAUUGCCUUAUGAACAGUUGUGUGUCUGUGCAUCCUCUCAUCCCAACAACUGCUGAGACUCUUUUCUAAUCCCAGUCAGAUUUGGUGGAAGAGCUGUGACUUCCAAGACUGUUCUGCUCCAUCCAGCUUUACAGGAACUCCAGAAAUCCCAGCAGUCAGGAAGGAGGUUGAAAGGACAAGGAGAAGGUAAAACAGUCACAUGUGCUGAGGUCUCCAAACCAUAAAAUGCAGAGCAGUUUGUAGCAUAUCCCAGUUUACCUGGAUGGAAUGAGAACAGUUCGGAUUCCCCCUGGCUGGUAACCAGUUUGUCCCUAAAGAUUUUAUAUUCCAGCUGUUAGAGAAGUCUAAACCCCACAGCAUCAUGAUUUCACUGCUAUUCUGAUGUGCUCUGCCUGGAUUCAGUCAGUAUUGACCAAAAAAAGGUCCUAUAUUGGCUGUGCAGGCAUUGUGCUACCCACUGUUUGGGAUGGAGGUGCAUUCCUGAGGGACAGCUGACAGGUCUUACUUUAAUUUUCAGCUUUCAUUUUCAACUCAAUCCUCAUUUAAAUCACACACACACACACAAAAUACAGCCAGUCCAUCUGAAAGCUCUGUGUCAUUAGGGAAAUUAUUCGGGAAAAAUUCAUGUUGUGGUCCUGCCCCAUCAUUAGUUUGCUGGUGCCACAGUUGUAAACUGCAAAUUAAGGGAAGCCUUUAAGCCUCUUGUAGUGUACCACUGAAAUUAUCUGCCAGGAAUUAUUACCAAAGUGCUCUAUUCCAAAAUACUUUGGUUUACUGGGCAGCAAGAAAACACUUGCAAUGGUGCCCAUGGCAGAUUUUCUUCUGCUUCUGUGUUUUCACAUGAUUGUGAUACUUGUGGAAGAUGAAACUUUCACUGUUAGAGGCAUUUUUUAUUGUAUUUUUUUUUGUGUUUUUUUUUUUUAAAACAGUGUCUUCCAUCUAUUUCCACACCCAGCUGAAACUAUGCUGCAACACUUCAAAAUCAGAUGCUUGAAGUACAGUCGAAUUUGUACAUAAAAGUUUUGUAAGAACUGGGAUGGAAUAGAGUGGAAUGCCAGAAUGACUCAUUGUUUAAUGAAUAAGGCCCUAAGUGUUCUAUUGAUGCCAUUUAUAAAUCUCUAUAAAAUGUAUAGAAUUCAUGUCAUAACUGGAAUUCCAAGCACAGCAACCUUGUGAGCUAAAUUGUGAUGAUGAUGGGGUACUGCACAAAUUAAUAUGGAUUCUAACACGCUUCUGCUUGAAAGCUGCUCAGACAGUUAAAAAUAAGACAAUUUCAUUACACAGAUUCAAAGCCCCGAGCUCAGAAAUGCUGCUUUUGGAAAUUCCUGAGGAAGGAGGAUGUUUCUGUGUGUGUGAGGGUUAAAAAGCAUAACCUGUAAGGGAAGCAGAUGUCCUUCCAAUGAGGUGGAGGUAUCGAUUGCAAUGCACAGUGCAAUUGGAAAAUAAAAGUAUUAGCUGGUAUAGGGCAGCUCAAUAUUUGGAACUCUUCUGUUGGAAAUGAGCAGUGUGAGGCUGGAGCAGAGAUCUGAUCACACAUCCCUCUUUUUGACUUUUUUGUUCCUGCUUUUCCCUUCUCAGAGCUCAGCAGUUCAGAUGUGAAAGCAGGUGAAGUUCAGCAUUUCCAGUGGGAGUUUUUGAGCCAAGUUCUGUAUCCCCUCAGAGUUCAGCCAGAGACAAACUCAUAUAAUGUGUGGGGUUGGACUAGCAGGAUUUAACCUGGUGAGAAAAGCUUCCAGUCUAAACUGGAACAGAAAGGAAAUCUGAUGCUUGGAAAUUUCCCAUAGCAGAGGAAGAUCCAAAAUGCUUUAUUUGGGAACAAUCCCCCCCUUCCUUUUUAUUUUUUUCUUUUGUUCUGUAAAGAAUACAAAACUUUUGGUUGCCCUGACUCUGGUGCUCCAGGCAGUUCCACUUGCAUAGAUUUAAUUUAUAUAUUCAAAAUAUAAAAUGUAUUCUCCCCCAGCAAAUAAUCUGUACAGGCUAUAGGGUGAAAUUAGCCUCUUUGUGCAAUGUCAUGGCCCUGUUUCUUGGUUAAAUAAGUUCGAGAAUCAGGUUUCUGGGGCAGAUAUGGAAAGAAAUUGAAAUUCUUCUGUGUUUUAUGCAGUGGCUCCUCCUUCCCACCACCUGCACUCGAGACCCCUUGGAAGAGCCCUGUUGAGGAGCAGUGUGGGUGUAGCUAAUACUGAGUCUGUAAUUUCUGUUUUCCACCUGUGUUCUUACAGAAUCAUAGAGUGGUUUGGCUUGGAAGGGACCUCAAAGAUCAUCUGGAAGGUUCCCAUGUCAGGGCAGCCUCAUGUUGGGGUUUGGGGCUCUCUGUUGGGUCAGUGAGGAGAGAUUUGCAUCAGCUUUGACUCACCCUGCUGCCACUUCUCCUUCCUGGUGAUUUCCCUCAUCUCGUCCCUGUUCCAGGUGUGACACACAGAUUUCAUUCUGGCUCUCAUGAUGUAUUAACCAAAUGUCAGGCUGGAGUAAUUUAUAAUUAACAGUGAUGCAUUAAUGUCGUGCCCAGCGAUUGCAGUGUGAGAGUAUUUUUGUGAAUGGGGCAUUUUUUUUUUUAAUUCUUGCAACUGUUGAUGUCCAGAAUAGCCACAACCAGGCAGGCAAACGGUCAGGAAAGACAGAUUUAUUCUUUUUUGUUUUGUUUACUCAUUGACUUCUUGAUGGGUGAGUGGACCUUGUUAUUCCUAGAUGGAGUGGAGAUAUAACUCAAGCCAUGAAUGCAAGUUUUUAUGAACAUUUAAGGUCUUGCUCCUGUUAUAAAAUUGGAGUGGAUAAACCCCUGCUCAACACUAAUGUGAAAAUCCUCUGAGCACUGUCUAUAUUUUUUUGGGCCCAAAGACAGAGCACAGCAGCUGUUCUACCCAAUCUGAGAAGACAAAGAGUGGCUCAAAAAAGUGCCAGCAAAAAGGGUCCAAAGCAGGGAGAAAUCUGAAACUGCUACAGGGAAAUGUUCCCAUUAGAAAGGAAAACCAAAUGGAUGUUAAAAUGAAAGGGAAGACUGAGGAUCUCAUAGUUCCACAAAGUGAGUGCAAGGAGACGUGUAGUGAAAUUAAAUGGUGACAAAUUGAAAAUGUUUCAUAAAGCAAUUCUUUCCCACCAGUAUUUAAUUAGGAAAGGAGCCUAAUUGCUUUUAGAAGUUAAUGGGAAGUUUGCAAGCCUAGAACAGAUUAGAUACUUGUGUUUUUAAUAACCAUCCAUAGAAUUAUGGUAAUUCAUUAUGCAAACUUCAGAAUGGAGUUCAGAGUUUGUGUUUCAAGGUUUAGGAUGAGGUGCAGCACUUCAAGCCCAGGGAAGAACCAGUGGGAAGGACAGCUCUGGCCUGUCCCAAGCUGCUAAUACUUGUCACUAUUAGAGGAGGUAUGUUGGAGAAGGCUGGAUUCUGGCCCAGUCUAUAUAUGUCCCCUGCACAGGAUUAAGCACAUAGUUUGCCACUGGCAAAGAAAAGGGAAGGGUUGAUAGAUGUUUGUCCUUCACUUGGGUUCAUAUAUUGAAAAACUGCAAUACUGCAGUGUUAAUAAUAGUUAUUCAAAAGCAUGGAGCACUGAAUAACUCCUUUGCAGUGGGAAAGGAUUGAGUGUCCCCUGGCCAGAAAGGAAAGCAGAGGAAGGUGAGUGAAUUACCCCAGUGUGUUAUUGGAGGGCUGGGUACAAAAGCCAGGUCAGUUGGAUUGAGGGCUGCAUCUAAACAUAUGCUGUGACCUUUUCCCUCCCCAUUUCUUGGAACCCUGGUAUUGCCAGGAGUAAUAAAAGUCCCAGAAGCAGUGAGGGGGUCACACCUGGCUCUGCCUUCACACCCACUGUCCAGUGUGAGGUCAGAGCUGAUCUUCACUCCCAGAUGAUCCUGGCUGGAGAUCUGUGCUUGGUGCUGGAUUUGGGGUCACUGCAGCCCCUGCAGAGUGUAGGCAGGCCCUUUGUAUUCCUUGGCUUAAGUGAGAUUUAAGGAAUUGCUGUAAACAGCAGGUCAAACCCAUUCUGGGAUUAAUGGCGCUGGGGUGGGUUUAUUGAAAAGUUUGUUUUUCUUGUGUUUGAAGUGGCCUCUCAUCUCCUCUGACAACAAAUAGCAGUUGUGGCAUCAGAGAGUGGUUUGCAACAGUGGUGUUUGCAGCCUGUCAGCUGCCACAGCUUCCCCUUGGCUUCCCAUUUCCUUUCGUGAAGGAGGUUGUUGGAUUUGGAGGAUGGGAUUUUAAAAAAAGAAAGAGGAAGAGAAGGAAAAACAGGGAAGGAAAUGGGAAGGGAAGAAGGCAAGACUCGAUUGCUCUCUGCUACUGAUCUUGUGGUUUGAGUUGAUUUGAGAAAGUGCCCUUCCAAUGGCUUUUGAAAUGUGAAAGAAGAACUUAUUUUAUAAGAGCCCUAAGACAGUUCAGUCACGUGCUUCCCCUCAUUUGAAUGUGGGAAUAAUUAGUGAAUGAGAAGUUAAACUAGAGGAGGUGUUAGUGGACAAAAUACAAUCAGUGUCCACUACUUCCUGUGUUGGUAAUGAUGUAGUUACACUGUGAAUCAGGUCUGUGUGUAGGUUUUAGGAUGGAAGUUACUGAUCAGCAAUAUUGUAUUUAUUUUUAGGAAUGUAUAAUAUAAUAAUGUAUCAUUUAUGGUGUAUGAUAUUAUAAAUAUAUUUAUAAUUCCCUGUUUAUUUUGAUAUUUAGUUUACUACAGCAUCUAAUAAAUCCACAAGGGCCCUCUACCCAACCUGUGCCAGGGCCUCCCCACCCUCCCAGGGGAGAAUUUCUUCCCAAUAUCCCAUCUAAACCUCCCCUCUGUCCAUUGGAAGCCCUUGCUGGAGUAACAACAAGGACAGAACGAGUCUCUCCUUUCCCUGGGUGUCCGAGGGAGGUUUAGAAGCUCCAAGAAAGAUGGAAUUCACUGGGGAAGCUCCAAGUUUGUAAAGCAGCUCCCUCGCUGCCUGGUGCCACAUUGCAUCACAUCUGAACGAGGGGUUUGCAUUAUAUAUUAGCCCAGAUCUGUCCUCAGAUACCCUGCUCUGCAGAAGACCACUUUUAAAUCUUUAAUAGGGCAUUAGAGCAAUUUGCCUGUGAUUUGGUUUUAAGUGGGCAAGGAGAGUGGUGACAAACGAAGCAGGGAGGCCCUCGAAUUCUUUGAAUAUUCCAUGUUUUCCUGGAACUGUUGGGAAAAGGCUGCCAGAAAGGUCUUGGCAGGUUUUCUAGGUGGCUGGCCAAGUCUGAAGCAAACGUGGAUAGUUAACAGGCUAAUGCAGCUCUGGUUCUGAGUUCAUACGUAUAUAACAUACGUUUUUAUUUAAGAAAUCCCACCACAUGGAGGAGCAAAUGUAGUGCUAAUAUAUCUUCCUGAAAGAAAAGAGCGAGGGGGAAAAACACUGUCAUCUCAUAACAAUAAAAUGAAGGAUCUUUUGCCCUUGCUUUUUAGGGACUUGGGUUGUCAGUUGAAGGAGAGAAGUCGUAGGAAAUGAAACCAGGAGACAGGCAGUGGCUUUCCCACGAGGGCCCCACGUUAAUCAGGAAUGGCUUAUGGAGCAAUAGUUGGUGUCUGAGGAAAGAGGCAGAAGUUGUUGAAGGAAUGGAUUUCCGUUGCUAGAUUGGCUUUUUGUUGUUGCCACGCAAGUAAUUAAAAAUGGCAAUUAAGCAGGAAAGUGAUCGAAUGGUCACUGGGGACCUGCUGCUGCACUUGGGUCCACAUGGACAAUCCGUUGGAGAGGGAAGCAGGAGACCACCUGUGUGGGUCAGAUAAUGAGAAUUAGGGGCUGUUACUGAACCAUCCCAGGUGUGGAUUAUGUUGGGAAGGGUUUCUCUGGGCACCAGGGUUGGGAUCAUGGUUCUGUUUGGUCCCAGGGAAUUGGUGUUUACUCUGGUGGCUGGUGGAAGUUGUUCCUGGGAAACACGAGGUGGGAUUUCUUAGAGACACCAGGUGAAUUAGCUUUGCCAUUUUAAUAUUGUCUCCACUGCCAGGGAUUCUGGUUUGUGUACAGCUCCUGGGGCUUGUCCUGUUUUAUUAUUAAUGGGGCAAAGCCUCUACCCUUAGAGUGAAACAAUUUAUUUUUCUUUAUUAAAACAUCGGUGCAGACCCUGAAGUUGUGCCCUGGACUCCCUGUGGGGUCUUGGAUGAGUCAUUUAUUUUUCUUUGGUUUUAUUCCCUGCCUACAAAAUAGAGGUCCUUGUUCCUCAGAAGGAGUGUUGUAAAGACAGAGGAGCUGGUCUUGUGUGAGUUGUUCAGGGACAGUCAUGUUGGAAUUGCAAGUGAAGAAAUCUCUGUGAAGAAAUAUUUCUGAUGGACUGCCUUUGUGCUGACAGCCAUUCAUUGGUUCUACAGAGUUAAAACUGGCAAUGUCUGUAAUCUGACAGUAUUUUUGUAAAUAAAAUCAUCUUGAAAAGGUUUUUAUUACACUUGAGAAAUCCUAAUUAAUGUUAUUUAUUAUCAUAGCAAGUUAGGUAACCUGUUAGUGUUUUAUAUGAUCACAGUAAGUUAAGUAACCUGUUAAUGUUAUUUAUUAUCACAGUAAGUAGGAUAUUCAGUUUUUUCUGUUUGUUUUCACCAUUUUCUGUCUCAUUAAAGUGUUCUGCUGUCCUUUUGCAUUAUAGAAACCAGCAGCUCUGGGUGUAGGGUGCAGCAGAGCCUGCAGUGCAGCGUGAAGUGAUGCAGAAGUGUGGAUGGCACCGGGAGCUGCUGCGCCUGCUCCUGCUGCUAUUCCUGGCACGCAGGGACUGAGCAGCGUCUGAUGGGCCAAAUGUGAGUCCUCGGAGGCUGCUGUGUCUUCCUCGCCUCCUGACACUCAUUCUGUCUGUCACAUCCCCCUGGAUGCCUGGCUCUGUGCUGUUUAGUCUGCUCUCAGCACCCGUGGAGCAGCUGAGCAGGAGCUGCUGUGACGGGCUCGGGUCGAGGUGCCCAGGCCUGUUAUUGCUUUGACAGCAACACCUAAAUAAAUGUCUUGGCAUCCUGGAGUCACCCUGCGAGGAGAGACUCCCUGUCCUCAGUCUGAGUGCAUCAGGCAGGCAGGAGAGGGAGCAGGGAUGGAGAGGUUUGCCCAAGCCAGGGAGCACGUGGAGCGGCGGGGCUGGAACAGGGGCAGGGCUGUUGGAUCCUCCCCACUGUCAGCACGGCUGAUCUGGGAUUCCUCUGCCUGCUGCUGAGCCAGCUCCUGCCUCUCCCUGGGCAGGGAACAGUGCCUUGCACCCACCAACCAGCUGGAGGGAAUAUUUCGGUGUCCCACCUUUGCAGUGCCUAAGACAUGUAUUUAUUUAAUGCGAGAAAUAAACCUUCACGUGUUAAUUUAUUUAUUUUUUUUUAAAUUGUGUCAGCUGUAGUACUAGAAAACCAAGGAAACGUAUCUUUGUUUUAUCUUUUAAAUAAUUCCACCCUCUCUUUAAAAAGAAAUAAGUGCUGGUGAGAAGGGUGAAGUCUGACAAGAGGUCAGGGGAUGUUUAGGAAUUACUGUGCUUUGAGGUUCUUCAGGUCCCUGUAGUCUCUCAGGGCUCUUUACAAACAUUAAUUAAGGCUCAGAGGCCCAACUCCUUUCUUAGGUGCCAUAGUUAUGUUAUCAAUUUGUGUUGGUUUUUCUGUAGGGAAGAACUGAAAAUAGUCCACAGUGAAUUCCUGGAGGAGAUGGGAAAAGAUCUGUGGACUGCAGGCCCCCAAUCUGUGAUUUACAGUCUCUCCUUUACAGCUCAGAUUCCCAAAAUGUCCCCAACCUUUCUGCGUGUUUCUGAAGUUGAAUUUGGGUUCAGCAGUUUGGGCUCUAAUUGAACAUCCUCAACAGGGCAUCAGAUGGGGAUGACAAAAGCACUCUGGACACAGCAGCCUUCUUCCAAGGACCUCAGUCCCUCCCAGGACACGGUGAGCAUUGUUGUGGUGGUUCUGUAUUAUGGGCAAGCAAGGUAAGAAGUGAUUUUAUCACUGACUUGAUGUGCAAUUGGCCAGUGGUCUACAAAACAGUCAAGUUCAAAUUAGAAGCUUUUGGUUGUCGAGCUCCUCACUUUGUAGAAUGAUGUUCUGGAAAUAUCCAAGUCAGGAUGCCUUUGCCCAGUUUUGCUUUCCAUGGCUGUGCCCCACACUGUGAAUUUGUACCAUUCCUCACAUCAUUAGAAUCCUUUGUUUGUAUUAGUAAAUGCUUCUUACUCCUCUGAAGACAUUUUAUUAAUUUGUAAACUAUUCCCAUGUAUUCUGUUCCUAUGGCUGAGCUAUAAGUGUUAUUUUGGAGAUAUUUCCUAAGUAAUCUCUGUGUAGUUUGCCUAGAGUGAAGUUAUUGACUUGUCUCAGAAAGGCCUUAAGGUUUUAUAGUUAAUGCUUAAGUCCCUAAAGCUUCCUCCCUGGCUGAACAUUCCUUCUCCUAUGAAUUGCUAAUUCCAAUUGAUCUGAGAAAAAAAAAAAGACAGAAAUAGUUUGUAUUUUCUCUACUUUCUGCUCUAACUGUGCACCUACCAAGGUCUCUUCUUGCUUUGAUCCCAUCUCUGUGAUUAAAUUCAUUCUUCCUUUCUGUUUUCCAGCUUCUCUCUGCAAACUUCCUCUCACUCCAUUUCUGCAAGAACUUUUGCUGCAAACCAGGUCCCUGAGAGGAUCACUGAGGGGGAGGCCAAUUUAUUUCUAUUUAUUUAUAAAUGAGCUGCAGAGACUUGGCCCCUUUUUAAACAUAAGAACAAUUUUCGGGCCUCUUUCAGUUGUGGUUAUUUCACUCAAAAGGAAAAAAAAAACCAACCCCAAGCACAGAACAAUAGAGAAAUAUGAGGAGUUGUGGAAACCCCUCAAACUUUCUCUGUUUAGAUUUUACAUUCCUGGUGGUCACAGGGCCAGGUGAUGCUGCCAGUUGUGUUUUCUUCUGGAGUGCCUGGCUUGGAUGAUCCCAAAGCACCAAGCUGAGUUCAUUGCUGUGAUCAAACUAGAAUGAUACCUCUGGUGGGUUUUUUUUGGGUUUUUUUUGGCCCUCAAGGUUUUGGAAUUUGAGCCUUUGAAAAACAGGGUUACUGGACUCUAGUAAAUGAAGUGUUUGGAUGUCAGUGAUGAUUCAUAAAAGCAAUUAAAAAAAGGAAAGUGCUUUUCCUCUGAGCGGAAUGUCUUGGUUUGAAGAUGCCCUAAAAGUGUGUGCUGCUCUGUUUCCAGCACAACACUUCUUAUCCUGUGGUUCUGCUGAUCUAAACCAAAUUUUUUUCACACAGUCACAGAACAGUCGGGGUUGGAAGGGACCUCUGGGGUCACUCAGUCCAACCCCCCUGCCCAGGCAGGG